GUGGGGAAUAUUGGACAAUGGGCGCAAGCCUGAUCCAGCCAUGCCGCGUGAGUGAUGAAGGCCCUAGGGUUGUAAAGCUCUUUCACCGGAGAAGAUAAUGACGGUAUCCGGAGAAGAAGCCCCGGCUAACUUCGUGCCAGCAGCCGCGGUAAUACGAAGGGGGCUAGCGUUGUUCGGAAUUACUGGGCGUAAAGCGCACGUAGGCGGACAUUUAAGUCAGGGGUGAAAUCCCGGGGCUCAACCCCGGAACUGCCUUUGAUACUGGGUGUCUGGAGUAUGGAAGAGGUAAGUGGAAUUCCGAGUGUAGAGGUGAAAUUCGUAGAUAUUCGGAGGAACACCAGUGGCGAAGGCGACGAUCUGGGCCUGAACUGACGCUGAGGAGCGAAAGCUAGGGGAGCAAACGGGAUUAGAAACCCCAGUAGUCC
rnacentral:rRNA from 1 species